rnacentral:rRNA from 1 species
CCCAGACUCCUACGGGAGGCAGCAGUGAGGAAUAUUGGUCAAUGGUCGGGAGACUGAACCAGCCAAGCCGCGUGAGGGAGGAAGGUACAGAGUAUCGUAAACCUCUUUUGUCAGGGAACAAAGGCGGGGACGUGUCCCCGGAUGAGUGUACCUGAAGAAAAAGCAUCGGCUAACUCCGUGCCAGCAGCCGCGGUAAUACGGAGGAUUCAAGCGUUAUCCGGAUUUAUUGGGUUUAAAGGGUGCGUAGGCGGUCGGAUAAGUUAGAGGUGAAAUCCCGAGGCUCAACUUCGGAAUUGCCUCUGAUACUGUUCGGCUAGAGAGUAGUUGCGGUAGGCGGAAUGUAUGGUGUAGCGGUGAAAUGCUUAGAGAUCAUACAGAACACCGAUUGCGAAGGCAGCUUACCGGCGCUCAACUGACGCUGAGGCACGAAAGUGCGGGUAUCGAACAGGAUUAGAUACCCCCGUAAAC